UGGAACCUGCCUGAGGUUUCUCUGGUCUUGGAGAGGGUAUCCUUUCCUGGGAGAAGGAGCUUACUGAGAAAAGGACUUUCUGAUCCCUAAGGUGGAGGGACUGGGGCUGUGAGCAUCUCAUUCCUCAGCCAUUUGAAAAUAGGAUGGUGUGGGCUGGAGAGAAGGACAACGGACUUUGUCUAACAAUACCAACAUUCCCCAGACUUUUUUUUUUUUUUUGGUGACAGGGUCUCCCUCUGCUGCCCAGGCUGGAGUGCAGUGGUGCAAUUGUGUGAUCAUAGCUCACUGCAGCCUUAACCUCCUUGGCUCAAGAAAUCCUCCUGCUUCAGCUUCCCAAGUAGCUAGGACUACAGGCAUGUGUUGCCCUGCCCAGAUAAUUUUUUAAAAUAUUUUUUGUAGAGAUGGGAUCUCACUGUGUUGCCCAGGCUGAUCUCCAACUCCUGGCCUCAGGUGAUCCUCCCACCUUGACUUCCCAGAGUACUGAAAUUAUAGGUGCAAGCCAGCACACCUGACCCUGGACUCUUACUUAGUACCAGCCAGUGCUCUAAGAGAUUUACUUGGAUUAACUCAUUUAAUCCUCAAAAUAAAACCAUGAGGUAUUGACUCAACUGGCUUUGUAUGCUGGGCACCACUUUGCAAACAGCUUACAGGAUGGACUGCAGUCCUCACAACGAUCUUCAAAGCACGCUCGGAGUUGUGGCCCUACGGGGACCCGGUGAAUUCAGCUGCCUGUAUGAGGUGAUGUUGUUUUGCCUUAAAUGGUCCCCUAGCCUCUCCCAAAGACCCCUCCUUACUCUUCCCAAGAAUGUCCCAAUUCCUUUCCCACUUGUGCCACUCAUUUUCAAGAGAGGAGAUGGCCCAGCCCUCUUCUCUUCCCCACCUCCCUCCCCCAAACUGUGUGACCCUCAGCACCCAGGGCUCAGGGGGCUGCCAGAGAUGGAGAGGAGGCAAACCCAAGCCAGCUCCUGGGGUC
rnacentral:lncRNA from 1 species